UACAGCAUCUUUGUUUUCAAGAAGAAUUCAAAAGAAAAAUGCAUCUAGUGGUGCAUUAUUCCAACGGCUGUUGCCAUUUUUCUAUUGGAAGUCACAGAAGUAAGGAAGGGGUACGACAAAGAAAGGCAUGCUGGCAGAGACCUAACCAGGGUGAUUGGAAUGGAAGAAACACAAACAAUUUGGCUUCCCCAAACCCUGCUCUCUGAAGGAAACUCUCACCAUUACAGGAGCAGAUGGCUCUUCCCAUGGCUCCCAUCACUCUGUAGAUGUAAAACUUGGUUGAGAAUCUCAUGACCAGAUAACAAUCAUUUUCAAAAUGGUAGAAAGCCAGCAUACGCAGGAGCGUGCACAAUAAUUCAACGUCAUAUUUGAUUCUGGCUGCUUUCCUUUGGAAGAUUGCUUUUUUCCAUGUGUAUUAGAAAAUACUCAAAUA
rnacentral:lncRNA from 1 species